rnacentral:rRNA from 1 species
CCUACGGGGUGCAGCAGUGGGGAAUAUUGGACAAUGGGCGAAAGUCUGAUCCAGCCAUGCCGCGUGUGUGAAGAAGGCCUUCGGGUUGUAAAGCACUUUCAGUGGGGAAGAAAGCCUUGGGGCUAAUACCCUCGAGGAAGGACAUCACCCACAGAAGAAGCACCGGCUAACUCCGUGCCAGCAGCCGCGGUAAUACGGAGGGUGCGAGCGUUAAUCGGAAUUACUGGGCGUAAAGCGCGCGUAGGCGGUCUGAUAAGCCGGUUGUGAAAGCCCCGGGCUCAACCUGGGAACGGCAUCCGGAACUGUCAGGCUAGAGUGCAGGAGAGGAAGGUAGAAUUCCCGGUGUAGCGGUGAAAUGCGUAGAGAUCGGGAGGAAUACCAGUGGCGAAGGCGGCCUUCUGGACUGACACUGACGCUGAGGUGCGAAAGCGUGGGUAGCAAACAGGAUUAGAUACCCGGGUAGUC